CACCGGCGGCUCUGGGCGGGAGCUGCGGGAAAGGGGAAGGAAAGGGAAGGGAAGGGAGCGCCGCGUUCUCUCUUUCCGAGAAGCGUCCGCGUCUUCGCGUCUCCUGGAUGGAAAAAAUCAGUAUUUUGCCUCCGGCUGCUAACGUCGGCUCCUUCUGGUUUCUCUACACCUGCUGCUUUCCUUCCUUUUUAUGUCAGUGGGUUUUGUAAGCCCUCCCCGUGUCCCGGGACAUCAGCCGCCCCCCAGUGCCCGCACGCUGCGAGCCGGUGGAGCUCUUUGCGCACCUUCUCAAUAGCGCUCACUAAAGACGUGCGUGGUGCUGCGCGAUCCCACGAGGCGACUUCAAUCGCUGAUGAAUUUGUUUGGCUUGGCGAUGAGACUGUGGGGAUUUGACUCAUCGAGAUGUAAAUUAAGAGUAAAUAGAGAAGAAGCGUUUCUCUGCAUCCAUCUGAAUUUACAUUUCAUCGUUUUAAUAGAUAGGUUAACGCUGCUUCUCUGCCUCUAAUUAAUAACUGCUCUAGGGGGAAUUCCAGGAAGAGAAACGGGGAGGAUUUGUGUACUGAAGGGCUAAUGCACAGAGAAACGUUGCUCAAUAUCUCUGACAUCCGUUCACGCAGAUACAAAUGGAAGUGGUUUGAGGCACGCAGCGUGCGUAUUUGCGGCUGGGGAGACACGGCUGUGUAAGCACGGUGCCCCUGCUCCUGCUCUUGUCUGUAUGCUGCCUGCUUAGCUUAGAAGCAUUCCUUUGGGAAUGAUCAUUUUCUGGGGACCCAGAAGGCACCCUACUCCCUGCAGCAGUUCUGUUAGCUUCCAGGGAGUUGCAGCACGCUCCCAAUAUGUGGCCAUUGCAUUACAGUCCAGACAGGAUGAGGUUAGAAGCAAGGCAGAUAAAAAUUAUAAAUUGUUACAUGAAAAAGAUGCCUUGUUUGUUAUUAAAAGUGGGUCGAUGUAAAAUGAUGUUCAGAAAAUAUUUGCUCAUCAUUUAAUCACCACCUUAUUUCAGCAAAUGCAGCUUGCCAUUCAUUAUAGCUGACAUUGAGUGUCUGUACUGCACACGAUGAUUCAAGGGCUGUAAGUCAGUCAACACAAUCUACAUAUCUUUGCCUUGCUUUAUAUAUGUACCUACAGAUUACAGGAAACAGACCAGCAAUGCUUAAAGUUGGAAAAGACCUCUAAGACCAUCAAGUCCAACCAUCAACCCAUCACUGCAAGACCACUCAAAGAAUCAAAGAGAUUGGGAAAAAACCUCCAGGACCAUCAGUUUCAACCCAUCACCAGCAUGCACUUAAAUCAACCCCAAGACUAUUUUUCCAAUUUGUCAAGAUCAUCGGAGUUUCCGUCCCAUCUUCCAGUGAACUGGCAUUCUCUCUUACCUUGGAGUUAUUUGCAACAAUGAAUAAGAAUAUUUUAUCUUCCAUCCUUGAGAAGGAAACUAGAUUAGUAUGUCACCACCUAGUCUCAUCCAAAAAGACUAGCUACGCAUAAUUUAAGCUUUGAUAAAGAGCAUGGAUCAGCAAUUGCCAAGUUAUGGCCCCAGGUGAAUGCACUGUCUGUGAAUGGAGGCAUGAGCCUGGCUGAGGUUGUGCUGGAGGAGUGGGGCUCGUGAGCUGAGGAACAUCUGGCAAAGUUUACAAGGUAUCACGGUAAGGGCAGGUGAGUUUCUAGAGCAAUCUUAUGUGAGACACUGCCCUUGAGGUUUUUCUCCCUGUCCUUUCUGCAGCUGAAUGUAGUGUCUUGAGACAAUGGUGAUCACAACGAGCGACCUUCAGACCUUCAGCGACCAUAUUUGUAGUAAAAGAAAACAGUUGGAUCUCUGGAACACACCAAAAGCAAAACAUUAAAAUGUUACUUUUGUUCAGAUAUGUUGAGAAAGUGCCCAGGGAAGUGGUGGAGUCACCAACCCUGGAGGUGUUCAAGUACAGAGUGGAUGUGGCACUGAGGGACGUGGUCAGUAGGCAUGGUGGGAUGGGCUGAUACGUGGACUAAGUGCUCUUAGAGGUCUUUUCCAAGUGUAAUGAUACUAUGAUCUGCACAGGGACGGGGGAUGUAAAACAUACGUACAUCCAGAGAUCUGAAACCUGCUCUUAUUAACUCAAUCAUCUAUAGUAGGGCAUGCCAAAAUGAAACAAAUAUUAGGCUAAUGGAAAAUUCAGUAUACAUUAAUGUAAUUUGUCUCCAGAAGUGUACAGUGUAUAUUUCAUGUCAUAUCACACUGCUUUAUAUACAGAGAAGAAAAAUACAUAUUUUGAGCGUAUAAUCCAUCUAAUCUGUUCUGGAAGGGAAUUGUACAGAGAAAUAUACUUUUGUGUACAAUGUGAUCUGACAGGUCAGAUGUAGACAUCUGUAUUUUAGAUGUAUAUUGUCAAGUUAAAUAAUUUUGCUUUUUGUUUCAGUUGUGUAAGUCACUUCUGGUCUGUAUAAAUUAUUAUGGAAAGAGGGGCAAAACCACCGUAUUGACAGUGCCCCAUGAACUUGAAUUUUAGGAUGUCAGCAAAGCACUGUCUAAAUAUUUAGCACCCAAAUGUCUCCUGUUAUAACCCUAUAUACAGAGAUGAGCUUCUUGGCUGCUGACUAUUAAUUCUCUCAUAUUUACCAUUAUUCUUCUUGCAGGUUAGUUAAGAAUUGUGGAUUUACAUAGAGCCUCUCCUACACCUGAAUAAAUCUUGCUUUCAAGUCCCUGUUAAGAAACUACCAGUGCUGGAGUUCUUGGCAUCAAAAACUCAUCUCUGGAAGAGCCAGAAGACAGAGCUAACCUGUCCAUGCCAACCUGUGGCUACGGAUAAUGUUGCUGAUGGAGCUCCAGAUGACAGCGCCUGCCGUGGAUCUGCUGGCUUCUGUAUUGCUGUUUGGUGGCUUGUGGAAGCCAACAUCAGCAUGGGAAUUCUACUGUAAACUGAUACAUCUGGUGAGCUUGUCAAUUUAUGGAGUCACAGAUACUAAAUCCUGGUGGCAGAACAGGUAAUAUUACCAGCUGGCUUUAUUUGGAAGAAUGAAAUAAGUCAGUGUUCUAAUUCUGGAUACGCUACACUUGUUGACAAAGGCAAGUCAUAUUUUUAUUUCUGUAUUUCUAAGAUGUAUUGUUACCACUCAGUUAUAGAAUCCGUCUUCUCCUUCUGUCUGAACAAGGCAGAAUGAUAUAUACCUAUGUUCUCCUUAACAGAUAUUUUACAAACUUGCUAUUUAAGACUUCCAAGAAAGGAGAUUUCAGUAGUGUACUUCAGUGCUUAAUCAUUUCAGAAAACUAUUAUUAACUUGCACAUAUUAACUAUGUGCAAGUUAAAUGGACAAGCCUGCUCUAUAACCUGAGCCUCUUUUGCUGCAAGUCCAUUGCUAUCUCUUUUGUUUCUUGACCUAAAGUAGUUUGAGAAUAACUUAUUUUUCUUGACCUCCAGCCCCUCUUACAGCUUUGCUUUUAUUCCACAUCUCUCUCGAUGUACAGUGCACAAAGCUUUGAGCAAUGCAAUUCAUGCCAAACUGAAUGGAAAGAUUCCUUAAUAUGCCUUGUAAGGUGUACUUCCCGUCAUGCAUCCUACUAUUAUGACUGCUUUUUUUUUUCCCCAUAGCAGUAUGACAUUGGUGAAUCAUCUUCAGAUUGAUUGAAACUGGCUGACUGGCAGAGCGCAGAGGGUCGUCGUUGGUGGUGCAGAGUCUGGCUGGAGACCUGUAACCAGUGGUGU